rnacentral:rRNA from 1 species
AGAGUUUCAUCCUGGCUCAGGACGAACGCUGGCGGCGCGCCUAACACAUGCAAGUCGAACGAGCGAGAGAGAGCUUGCUUUCUCGAGCGAGUGGCGAACGGGUGAGUAACGCGUGAGGAACCUGCCUCAAAGAGGGGGACAACAGUUGGAAACGACUGCUAAUACCGCAUAAGCCCACAGCUCGGCAUCGAGCAGAGGGAAAAGGAGCAAUCCGCUUUGAGAUGGCCUCGCGUCCGAUUAGCUAGUUGGUGAGGUAAUGGCCCACCAAGGCGACGAUCGGUAGCCGGACUGAGAGGUUGAACGGCCACAUUGGGACUGAGACACGGCCCAGACUCCUACGGGAGGCAGCAGUGGGGAAUAUUGCACAAUGGGGGAAACCCUGAUGCAGCGACGCCGCGUGGAGGAAGAAGGUCUUCGGAUUGUAAACUCCUGUUGUUGAGGAAGAUAAUGACGGUACUCAACAAGGAAGUGACGGCUAACUACGUGCCAGCAGCCGCGGUAAAACGUAGGUCACAAGCGUUGUCCGGAAUUACUGGGUGUAAAGGGAGCGCAGGCGGGAAGACAAGUUGGAAGUGAAAUCUAUGGGCUCAACCCAUAAACUGCUUUCAAAACUGUUUUUCUUGAGUAGUGCAGAGGUAGGCGGAAUUCCCGGUGUAGCGGUGGAAUGCGUAGAUAUCGGGAGGAACACCAGUGGCGAAGGCGGCCUACUGGGCACCAACUGACGCUGAGGCUCGAAAGUGUGGGUAGCAAACAGGAUUAGAUACCCUGGUAGUCCACACCGUAAACGAUGAUUACUAGGUGUUGGAGGAUUGACCCCUUCAGUGCCGCAGUUAACACAAUAAGUAAUCCACCUGGGGAGUACGACCGCAAGGUUGAAACUCAAAGGAAUUGACGGGGGCCCGCACAAGCAGUGGAGUAUGUGGUUUAAUUCGACGCAACGCGAAGAACCUUACCAAGUCUUGACAUCCCUUGACGAACAUAGAAAUAUGUUUUCUCUUCGGAGCAAGGAGACAGGUGGUGCAUGGUUGUCGUCAGCUCGUGUCGUGAGAUGUUGGGUUAAGUCCCGCAACGAGCGCAACCCUUACUGUCAGUUACUACGCAAGAGGACUCUGGCAGGACUGCCGUUGACAAAACGGAGGAAGGUGGGGAUGACGUCAAAUCAUCGUGCCCUUUAUGACUUGGGCUACACACGUACUACAAUGGCGUUAAACAAAGAGAAGCAAGACCGCGAGGUGGAGCAAAACUCAGAAACAACGUCCCAGUUCGGACUGCAGGCUGCAACUCGCCUGCACGAAGUCGGAAUUGCUAGUAAUCGUGGAUCAGCAUGCCACGGUGAAUACGUUCCCGGGCGUUGUACACACCGCCCGUCAAGGGCGAAUA